rnacentral:rRNA from 1 species
AACGAACGCUGGCGGCAGGCUUAACACAUGCAAGUCGAGCGCCCCGCAAGGGGAGCGGCAGACGGGUGAGUACCGCGUGGGAACGUACCUUUUGGUUCGGAACAACUCCGGGAAACUGGAGCUAAUACCGGAUAAGCCCUAACGGGGAAAGAUUUAUCGCCGAAAGAUCGGCCCGCGUCUGAUUAGCUAGUUGGUGAGGUAACGGCUCACCAAGGCGACGAUCAGUAGCUGGUCUGAGAGGAUGAUCAGCCACACUGGGACUGAGACACGGCCCAGACUCCUGCGGGAGGCAGCAGUGGGGAAUAUUGGACAAUGGGCGCAAGCCUGAUCCAGCCAUGCCGCGUGAGUGAUGAAGGCCUUAGGGUUGUAAAGCUCUUUUGUCCGGGAAGAUAAUGACUGUACCGGAAGAAUAAGCCCCGGCUAACUUCGUG